rnacentral:lncRNA from 1 species
UAGGACAACCAUUUUGUAUUUCACAUAAGAGGGAAAGCAAUGUAUUGUGUGCCGCUACAACAACUCUGCCAUCCACCAGCUCUUAACUAUAGCCGGCCACCAUACACAAAGGCGUAACACAACAGCCAGCCUAUUACACACACCAACAAACCAUCCAUUGCCAAGGGCAACUCCAUCCAGGUCCCAUGUCCCGCCUUGUGGAUUACAACCUAGUUUCUUUUCACGACGCCUCUUCCUUGAGUCCGGAAACCUUUCUCCUCCCGCACUGACCCGGCCACCAAAGCUAGGCUUGAAUAAAUGCGGAGGAUCAUCUUCUAUUGCCUUUCAGAGCUAGCAGCACUUCAUCUAUGCAAAACUAACAAAAGAAUUGUCACCGCAUGUUAAUUUUUAUGCCAAACAAACUAACAACAAGAAGCUAUGCAUAUUCUUCUUAUUAUUCCACUCAAAUCAUGGUGAAGUCAGAUUUGAUACAGGGGAUUACUCCACUUUAAGAUUAUAUACAAUUUAAAGUUCAGAACCGAGUGACCAUACCAGCAGAGGAGAGUAGUCUACUUUGAACCAUGCUUGCGCCUUUGUUCUCAAAUCACGCGAGAAAACCAAAACAUACAAACUGUGCGUGCUAUGCAGAUGUGGAGGAGGGGGGAAGCUCAC